rnacentral:rRNA from 1 species
UGGANACCACGCCGUAAACGAUGGAUACUAGGUGUGGGAGGUAUCAACUCCUUCCGUGCCGCCGCUAACGCAUUAAGUAUCCCGCCUGGGGAGUACGGUCGCAAGAUUAAAACUCAAAGGAAUUGACGGGGGCCCGCACAAGUAGCGGAGCAUGUGGUUUAAUUCGAAGCAACGCGAAGAACCUUACCUAGACUUGACAUCUUCUGCAUUACCCUUAAUCGGGGAAGUUCCUUCGGGAACAGAAUGACAGGUGGUGCAUGGUUGUCGUCAGCUCGUGUCGUGAGAUGUUGGGUUAAGUCCCGCAACGAGCGCAACCCUAUUGUUAGUUGCUACCAUUAAGUUGAGCACUCUAGCGAGACUGCCCGGGUUAACCGGGAGGAAGGUGGGGGAUGACGUCAAAUCAUCAUGCCCCUUAUGUCUAGGGCUACACACGUGCUACAAUGGCAAGUACAGAGAGAUGCAAUACCGUGAGGUGGAGCUAAACUUCAAAAUCUUGUCUCAGUUCGGAUUGUAGGCUGAAACUCGCCUACAUGAAGCUGGAGUUACUAGUAAUCGCGAAUCAGCAUGUCGCGGUGAAUACGUUCCCGGGCCUUGUACACACCGCCCGUCACACCAUGAGAGUUGGCAAUACCCAAAGUUCGUGAGCUAACCGUAAGGAGGCAGCGACCUAAGGUAGGGUCAGCGAUUGGGGUGAAGUCGUAACAAGGUAGCCGUAGGAGAACC